GCUCAGGGCGAACGCUAGCGGCGCGCCUAACACAUGCAAGUCGUGCGGGAAAGGGCUCCGGCCCAAGUACCGCGGCAGACGGGUGAGUAACACGUGAGUAACCUGUCCUCAGGUCUGGGAUAACCAUCCGAAAGGGUGGCUAAUACCGGAUAAAGUCACUGGGCGCAAGUUCAGUGAUGAAAGGAGGCCUCUGCAUAGCAAGCUUCUGCCUGAGGAGGGGCUCGCGGCCCAUCAGCUUGUUGGUGGGGUAAUGGCCCACCAAGGCUAUGACGGGUAGCCGGCCUGAGAGGGUGGUCGGCCACACGGGCACUGAGACACGGGCCCGACUCCUACGGGAGGCAGCAGUGGGGAAUCUUGGGCAAUGGGCGAAAGCCUGACCCAGCGACGCCGCGUGGGGGACGAAGGCCUUCGGGUCGUAAACCCCUGUUCUGGGGGAAGAACCAGGUCGUAGCGAAUAGCUAUGGCCUGCUGACGGUACCCCAGGAGAAAGCCACGGCUAACUGCGUGCCAGCAGCCGCGGUAAUACGCAGGUGGCAAGCGUUGCCCGGAAUCACUGGGCGUAAAGGGUGCGUAGGCGGCAAGGCAAGUCGCAGGUCAAAGCCCGGGGCUCAACCCCGGAAGGGCCUGCGAUACUGUUUUGCUUGAGGGCCGGAGAGGCUGGCGGAAUUCCCGGUGUAGGGGUGAAAUCCGUAGAUAUCGGGAGGAACACCGGUGGGGAAGCCUGCCAGCUGGACGGUUCCUGACGCUGAGGCACGAAAGCGUGGGGAGCAAACCGGAUUAGAUACCCGGGUAGUCCACGCCGUAAACGAUGGGUGCUAGGUCUGGGGAGGAAACUCUCUGGGCCGCAGCUAACGCGUUAAGCACCCCGCCUGGGGAGUACGGCCGCAAGGCUG
rnacentral:rRNA from 1 species